CCAAAAUCCUUCGUCUCCUUCUUCAAUAUACAGCUCCCCUCUUCUUCAAUUAAUGCUAUGAAAUUUCAAAGAAUAUCUCGGUAUCAAUGAUGCAUGUAUUUCUGUAUCUUAUAUAGGGCAGAGGUUCUCUAUCUAUUCCAAUUGUACUUUUCUUCACAAUUUUAAAGGUCCUGCUCUGCAAAAUGAAAGGUUUGAUUACUCCAAUUCCUUCGUUUUUGUGAAUAACCAAAUGAAAACACCCAAAAAAAGAAAAAAACUAAA